rnacentral:rRNA from 1 species
GACCGGCGCACGGGUGAGUAACACGUAUCCAACCUGCCGAUGACUCGGGGAUAGCCUUUCGAAAGAAAGAUUAAUACCCGAUGGCAUAGUUCUUCCGCAUGGUAGGACUAUUAAAGAAUUUCGGUCAUCGAUGGGGAUGCGUUCCAUUAGCUUGUUGGCGGGGUAACGGCCCACCAAGGCAUCGAUGGAUAGGGGUUCUGAGAGGAAGGUCCCCCACAUUGGAACUGAGACACGGUCCAAACUCCUACGGGAGGCAGCAGUGAGGAAUAUUGGUCAAUGGGCGCUAGCCUGAACCAGCCAAGUAGCGUGAAGGAUGACUGCCCUAUGGGUUGUAAACUUCUUUUAUAUGGGAAUAAAGUGCAGUAUGUAUACUGCUUUGCAUGUACCUUAUGAAUAAGGAUCGGCUAACUCCGUGCCAGCAGCCGCGGUAAUACGGAGGAUCCGAGCGUUAUCCGGAUUUAUUGGGUUUAAAGGGAGCGUAGGCGGGUUGUUAAGUCAGUUGUGAAAGUUUGCGGCUCAACCGUAAAAUUGCAGUUGAUACUGGCAUCCUUGAGUACAGUAGAGGUAGGCGGAAUUCGUGGUGUAGCGGUGAAAUGCUUAGAUAUCACGAAGAACUCCGAUUGCGAAGGCAGCCUGCUGGACUGUAACUGACGCUGAUGCUCGAAAGUGUGGGUAUCAAACAGGAUUAGAUACCCUGGUAGU